UACGUAGGGUGCGAGCGUUAUUCGGAAUUACUGGGCGUAAAGCGUGCGUAGGCGGUUUUGUAAGUCAGAUGUGAAAUCCUCGGGCUCAACCUGGGAAUGGCAUUUGGGACUGCAAGGCUGGAGUGCGGCAGAGGAGACUGGAAUUCCUGGUGUAGCAGUGAAAUGCGUAGAUAUCAGGAGGAAUACCGAUGGCGAAGGCAGGUCUCUGGGCUGACACUGACGCUGAUGCACGAAAGCGUGGGGAGCAAACAGG
rnacentral:rRNA from 1 species